rnacentral:misc_RNA from 1 species
UAAGAGCGACAGGAAAGAAAUGUGAGGAGUUAGAACAUGUCAGUUUA